GCCAGCAUGGUGUAAUGGUUUGAGUACUAGACUACGACUUUGGAGUCCAAGGUUCGAUUCCCAGCUUGGCC